UAAAUGUCCUUCAAACAAACAUGGCGAUCUUUGUCUUCCCAGCUUGUUGUGGAUGCAUCCCUCAAACCUGGCUGCCCCACCGUGCUGUACAGUUCAAAUGAGGAUCAACACAUUUUACCCAGGAUGCUCUUCACCCCAGUGCAUCACACAGACAUUUACAUGGCUCUGGGAAACCAGGUGGGUCAGCUAAAUAACAGUUCACCACAGAACUGGGGUAAAAUACCGUUUGUAAAGUGUGUGUGUCUGCUGUCCUACAUGUCCCACAACAAACUGAAAAUGCUGUAAAAGUGUCAUGACCUUCUUCAGCCAGAACAGCACAUCAAUAUGCUCCUGUUGACAUUUUGAUCUGAUAGAGUGAGUGCAUAUGUGUGUGUGUGUGUGUGUGUGUGUUGUAGAUGAUAACGGUCCCUGUGGCCCAGUGUGGUGUGUAUCAGACUCUGAGGGACUGCUGGUCUGCCCUGGACCCCUUCUGUGGCUGGUGUGUGUCUCAGAACAGAUGCUCGUUUCAACAUGACUGUUCCAGCUCUGACUGGGUCUCAGUUCCUGGGACGUCCCAGCAGAGGGAGAUUAUUUCUGUCCACAUGAAGAGGAGCAUCAAUGGGCAGGACAUCACAGUUACAGCUGCACCCAACCUGAACAGUGGCAUACAUUUCGCGUGUGCUUUAGAGAAGUGUGACAGCCCUGGGCCUUCUUCCUGUUCCUGCAUCCUCUCUAGUGAGAGCUUUCCUGCCGAAGGUCUGAAAGGACAAAAGUCUGCUUAUUAUUGAUACAGUAACAGCUUGUUGAUGACUAGAUUAUGUCCAUAUGGACUGAUCAACUGAUGGUGUUCAUGUGUGCAGGACUCGGCCUAAGCGUCAACAUUACAAUCCAGAGGGAGACGCUCAUUAAGGACGUGCGUUUGGAAAACUGCUCCGCUAUCAGAGGAGGGCCACCUUCUGUUUUGUAAGACAGCUGCUAUGUUUUCUCUGGUCAUGUUCACUGCCGUUUCAGUUAAAAGUGAAAAGAAAGUGUUUUUUUCAGCGCAAAGCUUUUACAACAAAUGAAGUGUGUGUGUGUUCCGCAGGUGUAUGCAGUGCUUCUUUGCAGGGUGUGUGUGGUCUCUCUCAGGUGAUGCUUGUACCUGGAGGACAGCCUCCACAACGGACAAUGUGACCACACAGGAUGUAUGUAGAAACCUCACGUCAGGACAGAACCAGACAAAGCCAGAAAUUCUGUCCAUGAGACCUGGUGAAGUUUCCAUCCAUGGUCGAAACGGUGCUGUUAUUCAAGGAAGGAACCUGGAAUCAGUCACAAAGGUCCGUUUCCAAGGAAACAUGGACUGCAAUCCAAAAGAGUCCCCAGUGUUGUCCCAUUCUGGAAACUCCAGUUCCGUUGAGUCGGUGAUGUUCCACAUUCCGAGUGGAACCAAAAGCACCGUGAGAGUGUGUGUGCUGACACCAGACGGCCAGUGUCAUGGCAACGCCAAACUCACCUACGCCUCCCAGCCGACCUGCAGAGGCCUUUCCCCAAAUACCACCUGGGCCAGGUGCAGUUUUAUACAUCUAUUCUAA
ensembl:lncRNA